AUUGAACGCUGGCGGCAGGCCUAACACAUGCAAGUCGAGCGAGCGGCGGACGGGUGAGUAAUGUAUGGGGACUGCCCGAUAGAGGGGGAUAACUACUGGAAACGGUGGCUAAUACCGCAUACUAUCGGAUAACCCAUAUGGGAUGAGCUAGUAGGUGGGGGAAAGUCUCACCUAGGCGACGAUCUCUAGCUGGUCUGAGAGGAUGAUCAGCCACACUGGGACUGAGAAACGGCCCAGACUCCUACGGAGGCAGCAGUGGGGAAGAUUGCACAAUGGGCGCAAGCCUGAUGCAGCCAUGCCGCGUGUAUGAAGAAGGCCUUCGGGUUGUAAAGUUCGUUCGGUAGCGAGGCGUUAACUACAGAAGAAGCACCGGCUAACUCCGUGGCAGCCGCCGCGGUAAUUC
rnacentral:rRNA from 1 species